UUGCCGUGAAGAUCCCAAGAGUAGUUGCCAGCUGAAACAUCAUGUUCAGGCCUCCUCGAAGGUGUGUUGGUGCCAUCUCUGAUAAGUAGAGUGGAACUGCCUUUAAGAACAAACAAGCAUUAAUGCAUUAGGAAUUGAGGUGCAGGAACCAUACCUGAUUCCCAAAGCCAAUGCCUACACCAAGCAUAAUUCUUCCUAGGAUGAGCAUUUCAAGAUUGACGGCGGCAGCAUUUAGAGUUGCCCCAACAAGAAAGCUAAUUCCACCGCAGACUAUGCUUGCACGGCGCCCAUAGUUCUGGGUGAUGGGAGAGGCCACCAAUGAGGAAACUAAUCCAGCAAGAUAUAGCGAUGAGGGCUGGUUAAAGCUUUGUGAUGUGUAUAUAUGGAGGCAAGGUCGUUGAUGGGAAAAGAGCCCCCCUGUCUCUCUGAGUUGGCCUCACCAUUUUGUAAGUUAUGAAGUUAUGAGCGAAGCUCCACUUGGAUGCAUUGAUUAUUUCGAGGUCUUUGUUGCAUGUGAUUGUCAUUCA